rnacentral:rRNA from 1 species
UACGUAGGGUGCGAGCGUUAAUCGGAAUUACUGGGCGUAAAGCGUGCGCAGGCGGUUUUGUAAGCCAGAUGUGAAAUCCCCGGGCUUAACCUGGGAAUGGCAUUUGGGACUGCAAGGCUUGAGUGCGGCAGAGGAGACUGGAAUUCCUGGUGUAGCAGUGAAAUGCGUAGAUAUCAGGAGGAAUACCGAUGGCGAAGGCAGGUCUCUGGGCUGACACUGACGCUCAUGCACGAAAGCGUGGGGAGCAAACAGGAUUAGAGUACC